CCUACGGGAGGCAGCAGUGAGGAAUAUUGGUCAAUGGACGAGAGUCUGAACCAGCCAAGUAGCGUGAAGGAUGACUGCCCUAUGGGUUGUAAACUUCUUUUAUAUGGGAAUAAAAUGUUCCACGUGUGGGAUUUUGUAUGUACCAUAUGAAUAAGGAUCGGCUAACUCCGUGCCAGCAGCCGCGGUAAUACGGAGGCUCCGAGCGUUAUCCGUAUUUAUUGGGUUUAAAGGGAGCGUAGGUGGAUUGUUAAGUCAGUUGUGAAAGUGUGCGGCUCAACCGUAAAAUUGCAGUUGAAACUGGCAGUCUUGAGUACAGUAGAGGUGGGCGGAAUGCGUGGUGUAGCGGUGAAAUGCUUAGAUAUCACGAAGAAAUCCGAUUGCGAAGGCAGUUCACUGGACUGCAACUGACACUGAGGCUCGAAAGUGUGGGUAUCAAACAGGAGUAGAUACCCGAGUAGUC
rnacentral:rRNA from 1 species